UACGUAGGGUGCGAGCGUUGUCCGGAAUUAUUGGGCGUAAAGAGCUCGUAGGCGGUUUGUCGCGUCGACUGUGAAAACUGGGGGCUUAACUCUCAGCUUGCAGUUGAUACGGGCAGACCUGAGUUCGGUAGGGGAGACUGGAAUUCCUGGUGUAGCGGUGAAAUGCGCAGAUAUCAGGAGGAACACCGGUGGCGAAGGCGGGUCUCUGGGCCGAUACUGACGCUGAGGAGCGAAAGCGUGGGAGCGAACAGG
rnacentral:rRNA from 1 species